GUGGUGGCUCAGGGGUAGAGCACUUGCCUAGCAUGUGUGAGGCACUGGGUUCGAUUCUCAGCACCACA
rnacentral:tRNA from 1 species